CGAUAUCCUCCCCGGCCGCGGGCUCGCAUUGCCCGCACGCCCACGAGAUCCGGUCACUGUCGCCGGUCGGGAUUGUUGUUGGUGACUAAUGAUGAAGCCCCCUCCACGCUCGCGGCCGCGUCCUGUUUCGCAGGCGGGGCAAUGCGAACUGCACUGCGCUGCGGGAUCAGGAGCAAGCCAGAUGGGUAGCUGUAGUGGGGGACUGGGGGCUUGGCGGCGCACGGACGAUAUGCGCUCAUCAGCUCAUGGCUGGCCGCGGCUAACGCUCGUACCCCUGAAGCGGAGUCCUCCCGCAGUAGUCGUGGCCUACUUCCCUCCCAGUUCCUCACUCCGUGCAGCCCCCUUCUGGCCUUCUCUUAGCACCGGCCCGUGUCGCCGCCAAGCAGCAUCGGACGAGGGAGCCGACUAAUACGGGCGAUGAUUGCUGGAGGAAGCAGGCGGGCUGGUGAAGGUAUGGACUAUGCAGUAUGUGGCCACUGGUGGGUUGGUCGCCAGCGAACACGCGACACUAUGCCCAACCAGGACAUAUUCGUAUACCUGCUGCGGUACUACCUGCUCAACAUGCUGCUCCGCGGCAGCACAAGCGAUCAUGGUCACCAUAAUUGCCUACCCUCAAAAUAAAGACCACCUUCUGCUACAAUCAUGAGUUCAUGACUGAGUGCUCAAUCCAUGGAUCACACAACCCUUCCCGGGACAGUUAAGUGGUUAUGGUUAACCAUGUAUUUUCUGAUCUGUUGCUGACCCUCUUUGUUAGUUUUUCCCCUUGUUAGUUUCAGUAUUCGGUAAUAUAGGUUUGUUUGAACUAGACUUGCAUGACUAAGUUGUAAUUGUCCUGAAUUAUUCCAUUUACCAGAAAAUUUGAUAUAGUGAUAAAUUGACAAUCUCGGGUAUAUUAAAAUUUAAAUACAUUUUCUUAAAGAAACAGAAGAAACCCAAACCAGAAGAUCUAGAACCAAAACAAUUAGUAACUACAGCUAUGUAUCAGCAAGCCAAUAAUUUUUAUCAAAAGACCAAGCAAAAUAACAACUGAUAAUUCUGUUGUUGUGGCUUUGUCCAAAUUUCAAACUGUUUCUGUGCCAUCGAAAUGUAUAAUAUAAUUACAACUUCUCCAUGUAGUAGUAAUGUAAAGCAAUCAAGCAAAUGAAAAAACACUGAACUAUAUAUCAUGAUAAUUUUAGUACCCAACACAAAUGCCUCAGCAUACGUACAGUUCAUAGAAAUUUAAUAGAAAUUUAGCGCCUCCAACAUUACUUUUGUUCAUGUUCUCAUUUAUGUCUAUAUAUAAGGCUGCCAAGAUUUGAGCCAACAAACAACUAAAUUAGCAGUUUGACAAUGCUUGGUCGUUUCAUUUAACUUCCCACUCUUGUAUCAACACAUUUAAAACUCAGUCCUUUACAAUUCAGGAACAGAAAUAACUUCAUUUUUUUUGUAGAACAGAUCAAAAAUACCGAUGGAUUAGAAAUCAGAACAAGAAUAUUUAUAUUAGUAGCACUGAGUAUAGGGUCAAGCUGUCAUUUUCCUUAGUUUUUCAUUCUAUGUGCAUUCAGAAUUUCAGAUCAUAUCCUAAUUCAUAUCCUAAUUCCAACUGAGAGGGGAUACAAUCUUCUAUUUUCUGAGCUCCAUUUUGUGUAUUCAUCUGCUCAAGAUAUCCUCAGUUCCUUAGUCUUUACUAACCAUUCUAACCACAACCUGAAUUGAUGUGUCCUUAAGUAAGAUUAUGCUCGCGUUCUCUUUUUCAACCAUAAACUAUCCUCGCUCACGUUCCUGCCUCCGACUUCUCCCACUUCCAAUGUGGCUCUCUUCGUGAAGUUUCUGAGGCAAGUCCCGGCCGGCAGAAGAGGAACGUUUUUAUCCUGUUCUUUCCUCUCUUUCCUUAGCCGCUAUUUCAGUACUACUUAUUCUAACAAAAACUCACUCUGUAUUUUCAGGAACUAGCACCAAGAAAGUGAAGAGCAAGAUUUAAAAAAGAUUAAUGGUGAUGAUGACAAGAAGCAUGACGAACAGAAGAGGAAGAAGCUAAAAAUAGAGGAAUGAUCAAGUUAAGUUACCCUUACAUAUUGUAGUUAUGAGAAAAGGAAGUCUUGCACUAUUUACCAAAUUAAUUUCUGCAAGUAUUUUUUUCCCUAAAAAGUGCCUUUACUACCUGCAUAUUCCCAUUUUGAAAAGGAUU